rnacentral:misc_RNA from 1 species
AAGUCGUAACAAGGUUUCCGUAGGUGAACCUGCGGAAGGAUCAUUCUUAAAUUUAUAAAUCACAUCCAUAUCUUACUAUAUGUUUUUAUACCCACAACUAGUGGGACAUAAUGAAACACAAAAACAAAAUAUGUCAAUGGUGGAUAUGUUGGUAUAUAC